rnacentral:lncRNA from 1 species
UGGAAAACAUGGGCCCAGGCUUCCUGCCCGACGUUUAUCGAAAUCUUCCAGCUGCUGGAAGAAAACAUUAAUGCAGUACAACCCAUUGGACUACCUAUCACUAGCCAGGUGCAAUCCAUGGUUCUGGAAACAUUUUCAAAGUUUCUGAAAAGGUACGAGGCCGAGGCCGCCCACUUCCUCCACCAGAACGCCACUGCUGGGCCCCUCCCCGAGGUGCACGUGCUGGCAAACUGCUGCAUCCUCAGGGAAACGUGGCAGGAGCUGAGCUGGGCACACAUUCUGCCGGCACAUCUGGACGCUGUCGUGCAAGACACCAUCCACGACAUCGAGAGCCACAGCCGGGACCACUUCCUGUUUAAGGGCAGAGCCCUGUGCAAGGUGCCGUCCCCCAGUGCCCCAGCCCUGUGUGGGGUCUUCUCUGUUCCCAGAGAACCAAGGCAGGAGGCGCCUGCCUGUGUCUCCCUGGACUUCUGCCCAGCCCAGCAGAGCCUUUGCUGGGGUGGGACACGGCAGGGCCCCGGUGGCGGACUUGGUUGGAGAGGUUCCUGGUCAGGCCUUCUGCCUUCCUCAGGCCGGAGUUCUUUGUCUGGAGCAGCAGGCUGGGCCAGCUGGGACGAGGGUGGGUGGGUGCGGAGGGUGGGUGGGUGCAGCUGGACUUGGCCUCUCCUCCUGUUCUGA